rnacentral:tRNA from 1 species
GCCUGGCUGGCUCAGUCGGUAGAGCAUGUGACUCUUGAUCUCAGGGUUGUGAGUUCAAGCCCACACUGGGCA